rnacentral:tRNA from 1 species
GGUUGUGUUUCAGUGGUAGAAUGCUUGCCUAGUAUGCAUGAGGCACCGAGUUCAAUUCUCAGCACCA